AGAGUUUGAUCCUGGCUCAGGAUGAACGCUAGCUAUAGGCUUAACACAUGCAAGUCGAGGGGCAGCAUGGUCUUAGCUUGCUAAGGCCGAUGGCGACCGGCGCACGGGUGAGUAACGCGUAUCCAACCUGCCUUACACUCUUGGACAGCCUUCUGAAAGGGAGAUUAAUACAAGAUGUUAUCAUGAGUAAGCAUUUUCGCAUGAUUAAAGGUUUACCGGUGUAAGAUGGGGAUGCGUUCCAUUAGAUAGUAGGCGGGGUAACGGCCCACCUAGUCUUCGAUGGAUAGGGGUUCUGAGAGGAAGGUCCCCCACAUUGGAACUGAGACACGGUCCAAACUCCUACGGGAGGCAGCAGUGAGGAAUAUUGGUCAAUGGACGAGAGUCUGAACCAGCCAAGUAGCGUGAAGGAUGAAGGUUCUAUGGAUUGUAAACUUCUUUUAUACGGGAAUAAACGGAUCCACGUGUGGAUUUUUGCAUGUACCGUAUGAAUAAGGAUCGGCUAACUCCGUGCCAGCAGCCGCGGUAAUACGGAGGAUCCGAGCGUUAUCCGGAUUUAUUGGGUUUAAAGGGAGCGUAGAUGGGUUGUUAAGUCAGUUGUGAAAGUUUGCGGCUCAACCGUAAAAUUGCAAUUGAUACUGGCAGUCUUGAGUACAGUUGAGGUAGGCGGAAUUCGUGGUGUAGCGGUGAAAUGCUUAGAUAUCACGAAGAACUCCGAUUGCGAAGGCAGCUUACUAACCUGUAACUGACAUUGAUGCUCGAAAGUGUGGGUAUCAAACAGGAUUAGAUACCCUGGUAGUCCACACGGUAAACGAUGAAUACUCGCUGUAGGCGAUAUACAGUCUGCGGCCAAGCGAAAGCAUUAAGUAUUCCACCUGGGGAGUACGCCGGCAACGGUGAAACUCAAAGGAAUUGACGGGGGCCCGCACAAGCGGAGGAACAUGUGGUUUAAUUCGAUGAUACGCGAGGAACCUUACCCGGGCUUAAAUUGCAACCGAAUAUGGCGGAAACGCUAUAGCUAGCAAUAGCGGUUGUGAAGGUGCUGCAUGGUUGUCGUCAGCUCGUGCCGUGAGGUGUCGGCUUAAGUGCCAUAACGAGCGCAACCCUUGCCGAUAGUUACUAACAGGUUAUGCUGAGGACUCUGACAAGACUGCCAUCGUAAGAUGUGAGGAAGGUGGGGAUGACGUCAAAUCAGCACGGCCCUUACGUCCGGGGCUACACACGUGUUACAAUGGGGGGUACAGAGGGCCGCUACCACGCGAGUGGAUGCCAAUCCCCAAAACCUCUCUCAGUUCGGACUGGAGUCUGCAACCCGACUCCACGAAGCUGGAUUCGCUAGUAAUCGCGCAUCAGCCACGGCGCGGUGAAUACGUUCCCGGGCCUUGUACACACCGCCCGUCA
rnacentral:rRNA from 1 species